AGAGUUUGAUCCUGGCUCAGGAUGAACGCUGGCGGUGUGCCUUAAGCAUGCAAGUGGAACGGAUUUUAUUGUUUCGCAAGAAAUGAUGAAAUCAGUCGCGGACGGGUGAGUACAACGUAGGAAUCUGCCUAAAAGUGUGGAAUAACUCGCCGAAAGGCGGGCUAAUACCGCAUGUGAUCGCAAGAUUAAAGGGAAUAACUUCUCGCUUUUAGAGGAGCCUACGCCCUAUCAGCUUGUUGGUGGGGUAAUGGCCUACCAAGGCAAUGACGGGUAGCUGGACUGAGAGGUCGGUCAGCCACAAUAGCACUGAGAUACGGGCUAUACAUCUACGGAUGGCAGCAACUGGGAAUAUUGCGCAAUGGACGAAAGUCUGACGCAGCGACACCGCGUGAAGGAUGAAGGUCUUAGGAUCGUAAACUUCUUUUGACGAGAAAUCCCGCAAGGGAUACGGUACUCGUAGAAUAAGCACCUGCUAACCACGUGCCAGCAGCCGCGGUAAUACGUGGGGUGCAAGCGUUAUCCGGAUUUAUUGGGCGUAAAGAGUUCGUAGGCGUUUUUCUAAGUUUUGUUUGAAAGACUGAGGCUCAACCUCGGGACCGGACGAAAUACUAGAAGAAUCGAGUCAGUUAGGGGGUACUGGAACUGUUAGUGUAGCAGUGAAAUGCGUUGAUAUUAACAGGAACGCCAAGGGCGAAGGCAGGUACCUGGGACUGUACUGACGCUGAGGAACGAAAGCUAGGGGAGCGAAAGGGAUUAGAGACCCCUGUAGUCCUAGCCGUAAACAAUGCACGCUUGAUCCUUGCCUUUAUGGUGGGGGUUGGAGCUAACGCGUGAAGCGUGCCGCCUGGGGAGUACGACCGCAAGGUUAAAACUCAAAGGAAUUGACGGGGAGGCGCACAACCAGGGGAGCAUGUGGUUCAAUUCGAUACGAAGCGAAAAACCUUACCCAGAUUUGACAUACUAUCGUGUAUUUUUGUGGAAACACGAAGAAAUCCGCCCUUAAAAGUGGAUGAUAGUACAGCUGCUGCAUGGCUAGACCCGAGAGGGUUACGGCCAGCUUGACAGUAAUGUCAUUAAUUUUUAAACCAGCUCAUAUCGGUGAAGUCUUGAUUUCGGGUUUUAUUCGUGCCAGAAUAAUACUGUUGAAGAAACAAGAUAAUACCGAGGGAAGCACAGUUUUUACCUUUAAGACGUCUGAUGACUACUACAUUUUAGGUUUGUGGUUGGCAGACGGAUAUUGGAGGACAAGCUCAAUUGGAUUGACUUCGGUAACGGAUGAUUUGAUCGAACGAUUUAAAGAGUUUCUGAUUAACAAUUUUCCAGAAAGAACUAUAAAACAUGGAAAAUACUGCGUGUAUAUAAACAUGCGGGCGUUAGUUAGAAUAUUUAUGAAAUUUAAGUCGGGAGAUCUUGUCAUUCCCAAGAAAUUUAUUCCAGCAUAUUUUGCCGGGAGAAUUGAUGGAGACGGUCACGUUGACCGGAAACAUCGAUCCGGAAUAAGAAUUGCGUAUGGGGA
rnacentral:rRNA from 1 species